rnacentral:rRNA from 1 species
AGUCGACGCUUUUUCUUUCACCGGAGCUUGCUCCACCGAAAGAAAAAGAGUGGCGAANGGGUNAGUAACACGUGGGUAACCUGCCCAUCAGAAGGGGAUAACACUUGGAAACAGGUGCUAAUACCGUAUAACACUAUUUUCCGCAUGGAAGAAAGUUGAAAGGCGCUUUUGCGUCACUGAUGGAUGGACCCGCGGUGCAUUAGCUAGUUGGUGAGGUAACGGCUCACCAAGGCCACGAUGCAUAGCCGACCUGAGAGGGUGAUCGGCCACACUGGGACUGAGACACGGCCCAGACUCCUACGGGAGGCAGCAGUAGGGAAUCUUCGGCAAUGGACGAAAGUCUGACCGAGCAACGCCGCGUGAGUGAAGAAGGUUUUCGGAUCGUAAAACUCUGUUGUUAGAGAAGAACAAGGAUGAGAGUAGAACGUUCAUCCCUUGACGGUAUCUAACCAGAAAGCCACGGCUAACUACGUGCCAGCAGCCGCGGUAAUACGUAGGUGGCAAGCGUUGUCCGGAUUUAUUGGGCGUAAAGCGAGCGCAGGCGGUUUCUUAAGUCUGAUGUGAAAGCCCCCGGCUCAACCGGGGAGGGUCAUUGGAAACUGGGAGACUUGAGUGCAGAAGAGGAGAGUGGAAUUCCAUGUGUAGCGGUGAAAUGCGUAGAUAUAUGGAGGAACACCAGUGGCGAANNCGGCUCUCUGGUCUGUAACUGACGCUGAGGCUCGAAAGCGUGGGGAGCGAACAGGAUUANAUACCCUGGNAGNCCACGCCNNAAACGAUGANNGNCUAANNNNNUGGAGGGUUUCC